rnacentral:tRNA from 1 species
AAGGUUUUAAGUUAAAACAAACUAUAAGCCUUCAAAGCUUAACAUAAAGAUACAUCUUUAAACCUUG